rnacentral:rRNA from 1 species
UACGAAGGGGGCUAGCGUUGUUCGGAUUUACUGGGCGUAAAGCGCACGUAGGCGGAUUGUUAAGUCAGGGGUGAAAUCCCGGAGCUCAACUCCGGAACUGCCUUUGAUACUGGCAAUCUUGAGGCUGGAAGAGGUUAGUGGAAUUCCCAGUGUAGAGGUGAAAUUCGUAGAUAUUCGCAAGAACACCAGUGGCGAAGGCGGCUCACUGGCCCGAUACUGACGCUGAGGUGCGAAAGCGUGGGGAGCAAACAGG